rnacentral:rRNA from 1 species
UACGUAGGCAGCAAGCGUUGUUCGGAGUUACUGGGCGUAAAGGGUGUGUAGGCGGUCUCGUAAGUCUGGUGUGAAAUCUCCCGGCUCAACUGGGGAGGGUGCGCCGGAAACUGCGAGGCUAGAGUGUUGGGAUGGGGAGAGUGGAAUUCCUGGUGUAGCGGUGAAAUGCGUAGAUAUCAGGAGGAACACCUGCGGUGUAGACGGCUCUCUGGACCA